GGUCAGAUGUGGGAGAAGGUGGCCACCCACUCGCAGAGUUAUUGGGAAGGGGAAUGACUUAAAACCUCAUUUCCUCUGAACAGUCUGAAAGUGCAGGAAAAAAGUGGGGACUUCUGGGGAGGCAGCUGGCACGGAGGAGUGGAGUUGCAGGUUUCUGGCCCUGGCACCUCCCUGCCUGUUUUUGAGGCUGUCCAUCAAGUCAGUGAGGGGAGGGAGAGCAGCAAGUGCAGGACAGAUGUAGAAGAACAAGGCUGGAUUUCCAUUCCCAGUACCCCCGGAUUGUCCCUUUGCAAAUAGGGACAAUCAAAAGCAUCCCCACACUCCCUGACGAGGUGGUGGGGUCCUUUGGAGAAGCAGUUUAAUUGCUCUCAGCGGCCCAAACCAGCCCUGUUCCUACAGCAGGGUUGAGACCAACCCAAACAAACGCCCUGGUGGAGUAAAACCGAGAUAGGCUGAGAACCUUCGGGGACCGGUGUAAAUCAGCGUCCCUGCACUGGCUCUGGUGGAGCCGUGCCAAAUUCCACCAGCUGAGGGUCUGGAUUGCAUAUUCUACCUAUAAAAAUGGUGUUUAGGAUAUCUUGGCAAAAGAAGGUAUUUUUGCAACCCACUUAUAA
rnacentral:lncRNA from 1 species